GCGAGCUGAUCCCCUUCGGGGGUGACGCUCGUGGAACGAGCGGCGGACGGGUGAGUAACACGUGGGUAACCUGCCUGUAAGAUCGGAAUAACUCCGGGAAACCGGAGCUAAUGCCGGGUAACAUGUUCUUCCGCAUGGAGGAACAUUAAAAGAUGGCUUCUUGCUAUCACUUACAGAUGGACCCGCGGCGCAUUAGCUAGUUGGUGAGGUAACGGCUCACCAAGGCGACGAUGCGUAGCCGACCUGAGAGGGUGAUCGGCCACACUGGGACUGAGACACGGCCCAGACUCCUACGGGAGGCAGCAGUAGGGAAUCUUCCGCAAUGGACGAAAGUCUGACGGAGCAACGCCGCGUGAACGAUGAAGGUCUUCGGAUCGUAAAGUUCUGUUGUUAGGGAAGAACAAGUACCGUUCAAACAGGGCGGUACCUUGACGGUACCUAACGAGGAAGCCCCGGCUAACUACGUGCCAGCAGCCGCGGUAAUACGUAGGGGGCAAGCGUUGUCCGGAAUUAUUGGGCGUAAAGCGCGCGCAGGCGGUUCCUUAAGUCUGAUGUGAAAGGCCACGGCUCAACCGUGGAGGGCCAUUGGAAACUGGGGAACUUGAGGACAGAAGAGGAGAGUGGAAUUCCACGUGUAGCGGUGAAAUGCGUAGAUAUGUGGAGGAACACCAGUGGCGAAGGCGACUCUCUGGUCUGUCUCUGACGCUGAGGUGCGAAAGCGUGGGUAGCAAACAGGAUUAGAUACCCUGGUAGUCCACGCCGUAAACGAUGAGUGCUAGGUGUUAGGGGGCUUCCACCCCUUAGUGCUGAAGUUAACGCAUUAAGCACUCCGCCUGGGGAGUACGGCCGCAAGGCUGAAACUCAAAGGAAUUGACGGG
rnacentral:rRNA from 1 species